GAUGAACGCUGGCCGCGUGCCUAAUACAUGCAAGUCGAGCGAACGGAUGAGAAGCUUGCUUCUCUGAUGUUAGCGGCGGACGGGUGAGUAACACGUGGAUAACCUACCUAUAAGACUGGGAUAACUUCGGGAAACCGGAGCUAAUACCGGAUAAUAUUUUGAACCGCAUGGUUCAAAAGUGAAAGACGGUCUUGCUGUCACUUAUAGAUGGAUCCGCGCUGCAUUAGCUAGUUGGUAAGGUAACGGCUUACCAAGGCAACGAUGCAUAGCCGACCUGAGAGGGUGAUCGGCCACACUGGAACUGAGACACGGUCCAGACUCCUACGGGAGGCAGCAGUAGGGAAUCUUCCGCAAUGGGCGAAAGCCUGACGGAGCAACGCCGCGUGAGUGAUGAAGGUCUUCGGAUCGUAAAACUCUGUUAUUAGGGAAGAACAUAUGUGUAAGUAACUGUGCACAUCUUGACGGUACCUAAUCAGAAAGCCACGGCUAACUACGUG
rnacentral:rRNA from 1 species